AUACGGAGGGUGCAAGCGUUAAUCGGAAUUACUGGGCGUAAAGCGUACGUAGGCGGUUAAGUCAGUCAGAUGUGAAAGCCCUGGGCUCAACCUGGGAACUGCAUUUGAUACUGCUUGGCUAGAAUAUGGUAGAGGGAAGUGGAAUUCCGGGUGUGGCGGUGAAAUGCGUAGAUAUCCGGAGGAACACCAGUGGCGAAGGCGGCUUCCUGGACCAAUAUUGACGCUGAGGUACGAAAGCGUGGGUAGCAAACAGGAUUAGAAACCCGGGUAGUCC
rnacentral:rRNA from 1 species